rnacentral:rRNA from 1 species
AGUGAACGCUGGCGGUAGGCCUAACACAUGCAAGUCGAACGGCAGCACAGUAAGAGCUUGCUCUUACGGGUGGCGAGUGGCGGACGGGUGAGGAAUACAUCGGAAUCUACUUUUUCGUGGGGGAUAACGUAGGGAAACUUACGCUAAUACCGCAUACGACCUACGGGUGAAAGCAGGGGAUCUUCGGACCUUGCGCGAUUGAAUGAGCCGAUGUCGGAUUAGCUAGUUGGCGGGGUAAAGGCCCACCAAGGCGACGAUCUGUAGCUGGUCUGAGAGGAUGAUCAGCCACACUGGAACUGAGACACGGUCCAGACUCCUACGGGAGGCAGCAGUGGGGAAUAUUGGACAAUGGGCGCAAGCCUGAUCCAGCAAUACCGCGUGGGUGAAGAAGGCCUUCGGGUUGUAAAGCCCUUUUGUUGGGAAAGAAAAGCAGCAGGUUAAUACCCCGCUGUUCUGACGGUACCCAAAGAAUAAGCACCGGCUAACUUCGUG